AUUGAACGCUGGCGGCAUGCCUUACACAUGCAAGUCGAACGGCAGCACGGGAGCAAUCCUGGUGGCGAGUGGCGAACGGGUGAGUAAUGUAUCGGAACGUGCCCAGUCGUGGGGGAUAACGCAGCGAAAGCUGUGCUAAUACCGCAUACGAUCUAUGGAUGAAAGCGGGGGAUCGCAAGACCUCGCGCGAUUGGAGCGGCCGAUAUCAGAUUAGGUAGUUGGUGGGGUAAAGGCCCACCAAGCCUGCGAUCUGUAGCUGGUCUGAGAGGACGAUCAGCACACUGGGACUGAGACACGGCCCAGACUCCUACGGGAGGCAGCAGUGGGGAAUUUUGGACAAUGGGCGCAAGCCUGAUCCAGCAAUGCCGCGUGCAGGAUGAAGGCCUUCGGGUUGUAAACUGCUUUUGUACGAGACGAAAAGACUCGCUCUAAUACAGUGGGUACAUGACGGUAUCGUAAGAAUAAGCACCGGCUAACUACGUGCCAGCAGCCGCCGUAA
rnacentral:rRNA from 1 species